rnacentral:tRNA from 1 species
GUAAAAUGGCCGAUAAAGGUGAUAAAUUGUAAAUUUAUUAAUGAAUUAUAUUCUUUUGCC